rnacentral:rRNA from 1 species
AUUGAACGCUGGCGGCAGGCUUAACACAUGCAAGUCGAGCGGGGUGAAGUGCUUCGGUACUGAUCCUAGCGGCGGACGGGUGAGUAAUGCUUAGGAAUCUGCCAUUUAGUGGGGGACAACAUUCCGAAAGGGAUGCUAAUACCGCAUACGUCCUACGGGAGAAAGCAGGGGAUCUUCGGACCUUGCGCUAAAUGAUGAGCCUAAGUCGGAUUAGCUAGUUGGUGGGGUAAAGGCCUACCAAGGCGACGAUCUGUAGCGGGUCUGAGAGGAUGAUCCGCCACACUGGGACUGAGACACGGCCCAGACUCCUACGGGAGGCAGCAGUGGGGAAUAUUGGACAAUGGGCGGAAGCCUGAUCCAGCCAUGCCGCGUGUGUGAAGAAGGCCUUUUGGUUGUAAAGCACUUUAAGCGAGGAGGAGGCUACCUGGAUUAAUACUCUGGGAUAGUGGACGUUACUCGCAGAAUAAGCACCGGCUAACUCUGUGCCAGCAGCCGCGGUAAUAC